CCGCCCUUAGCUCAGCGGCGAGAGCAGCUGCGCGACAGGCAGACGAGCGGUGGUUCGAGUCCACCAGGGCGGACCA
rnacentral:tRNA from 1 species